GUCUGAACGCCGGCUGCUCCAGCAAAGGAAUUGCCAUUCGGAAUUCCAACGUUAAAAAGAUUCCGGAAUUGGAAAAUAAGCAGCGGGCUAGUGCAAUUGGUACUUAUAAUCAGCUAGGGCUAUGGCCUAUAAUGAUGAACAAAUGUUACUAAGAGAAUUCUACAUCCGUCCAGUUCCGGUACUGCCCCGCUUCUUCGUUAGAUCCCGUAUACGGUAACAAUCGACUUCAUAACAGCUAGCAGGUGAUCUCAUAUAUUAGAACAUAGUCAAAAUUAUGUGUUAAAACCAUGUUUGCAUUAAAUCAGAAUUUCUAUCUGGUGAAAAUAUAUAUUCUAGAAUUCUUGAA